rnacentral:rRNA from 2 species
GAGUUUGAUCCUGGCUCAGAAUGAACGCUGGCGGCAGGCCUAACACAUACAAGUCGAACGGAGUUAUAUUGUAGCUUGCUAUGGUAUAACUUAGUGGCAGACGGGUGAGUAAUGUAUAGGAAUCUACCUAGUAGUACGGAAUAAUUGUUGGAAACGGCAACUAAUACCGUAUACGCCCUACGGGGGAAAAAUUUAUUGCUAUUAGAUGAGCCUAUAUUAGAUUAGUUAGUUGGUGAGGUAAAGGCUUACCAAGACAAUGAUCUAUAGCUGAUCUGAGAGGAUGAUCAGCCACACUGGAACUGAGAUACGGUCCAGACUCCUACGGGAGGCAGCAGUGGGGAAUAUUGGACAAUGGGCGAAAGCCUGAUCCAGUCAUGCCGCAUGAGUGAAGAAGGCCUUCGGGUUGUAAAGCUCUUUUAGUGAGGAAGAUAAUGACGGUACUCACAGAAGAAGUCCUGGCUAACUCCGUGCCAGCAGCCGCGGUAAUACGGAGAGGGCUAGCGUUAUUCGGAAUCAUUGGGCGUAAAGGGCGCGUAGGCGGGUUAGUAAGUUAAAAGUGAAAUCCCAAGGCUCAACCUUGGAACUGCUUUUAAAACUGCUAGUCUAGAGAUUGAAAGAGGAUAGAGGAAUUCCUAGUGUAGAGAUGAAAUUCGUAAAUAUUAGGAGGAACACCAGUGGCGAAAGGCGUCUAUCUGGGUUCAAAUCCGACGCUGAGGCGCGAAGGCGUGGGGAGCAAACAGGAUUAGAUACCCUGGU